UCAAAGAAAGGGGUUCUCCGUUACUGGGAAAAUCUUAUCUGAUUUAGGAUCAAUUUAUUGGUUACACUCCCCUAUCACCAGUGAUUCUUUGUCGUAAGCUGACAUUUUGAAAAAGGGCAAGAACAUUAAAGAUAAAGGGAAACUAUAAACAAAAGAGAUUAUCAACAAAAAUAGAUUUCAGACGUCAACAAAGCCUAAAUGGUCAGACAUCUUGGUUUUCAUGAUCAUCAUUCAACAGGUCAAUACUGAACAGAAAACUUAAAGUUGAUAUUUUUCUAUAUAGUGUGACUUUUUUAUUAAUUUGAAAUGGAAUGUGUUUUUUUCCUACAUAAGAAAGAGGAAAUUUCAACAUAAUGACUAUAAACAAAAAGGAGUCAUAUUAUCAUGAUCAUAGAUGCACGUCAAGAACUAAAUCAUGUAAAUGCAACAACGUAAUUAUCAAUUGAAAGAAGGGAGGAAUGAAAAAAUAUAUUAGAAAUUUGUUGUCCAAAUGAACUUGCUUUGUCCACUCAUUUAAAUCGCUCCAUCCAAUAAAGAUGUACGGAGGAGGAUUUUUGAAGAACAGAUUGCAAAAAUGUUUUGUCUAAGAACUGUAGGAAUAUUCUAGUGGAUGAAAUAAUUUAUUUACUUGACUCUUAUGUAGUGGACUGAAUAAUUGUACAUAGCAAGCUGAAACAAGAAAACUAAAACUUAACAGGAAAAGUGUUUAUUUUAUAAAUUUGCAAAUAUAAACGUAAUAUUAUGAACACCACAAAGGUAUAAGAUUCAAAUUGUUUGCAUAUUCAUGUAUUGCAAUGGAACUAUAACAAAGAAAACUUUACCUCAUUAAAAGAGUAAACUAUUAA